rnacentral:rRNA from 1 species
UACGUAGGUGGCAAGCGUUGUCCGGAUUUACUGGGCGUAAAGGGAGUGUAGGCGGAUACUUAAGUCAGAUGUGAAAUACCCGGGCUCAACUUGGGUGCUGCAUUUGAAACUGGGUAUCUAGAGUGCAGGAGAGGAAAGUGGAAUUCCUAGUGUAGCGGUGAAAUGCGUAGAGAUUAGGAAGAACACCAGUGGCGAAGGCGACUUUCUGGACUGUAACUGACGCUGAGGCUCGAAAGCGUGGGGAGCAAACAGGAUUAGAUACCCUGGUAGUCCACGCCGUAAACGAUGGGUACUAGGUGUGGGAGGGAUCGACUCCUUCCGUGCCGCCGUUAACACAAUAAGUACCCCGCCUGGGGAGUACGGUCGCAAGAUUAAA